ACUGAACGCUGGCGGCAGGCCUAACACAUGCAAGUCGAGCGGGGUUUUCGGACCUAGCGGCGGACGGGUGAGUAAUGCGUAGGAAGCUACCCGAUAGAGGGGGAUACCAGUUGGAAACGACUGUUAAUACCGCAUAAUGUCUACGGACCAAAGUGUGGGACCUUCGGGCCACAUGCUAUCGGAUGCGCCUAAGUGGGAUUAGCUAGUUGGUGAGGUAAUGGCUCACAAAGGCGGCGAUCCCUAGCUGGUUUGAGAGGAUGAUCAGCCACACUGGAACUGAGACACGGUCCAGACUCCUACGGGGGGCAGCAGUGGGGAAUAUUGGACAAUGGGCGCAAGCCUGAUCCAGCCAUGCCGCGUGUGUGAAGAAGGCCUUCGGGUUGUAAAGCACUUUCAGUAGGGAGGAAGCGUUGUGUGUUAAUAGUACACAGCGUUGACGUUACCUACAGAAGAAGCACCGGCUAACUCUGUGCCAGCCGCCGCCGUAAGAC
rnacentral:rRNA from 1 species